GUGAGGAAUAUUGGACAAUGGGGGCAACCCUGAUCCAGCGACGCCGCGUGAGUGAUGAAGGCCUUCGGGUCGUAAAGCUCUGUUGCAGGGGAAGAACACAAUGACGGUACCCUGCUAGAAAGGAUCGGCUAACUUCGUGCCAGCAGCCGCGGUAAGACGAGGGAUCCUAGCGUUGUUCGGAAUUAUUGGGCGUAAAGCGGGUGCAGGUGGCUUGGUAAGUCAGAUGUGAAAGCCUGGGGCUUAACCCCAGAAGUGCAUUUGAUACUGCUGAGCUUGAGUGCUGGAGAGGCUAUUAGAAUUCCUGGUGUAGUGGUGAAAUACGUAGAUAUCAGGAGGAAUACCGGAGGCGAAGGCGGAUAGCUGGCCAGACACUGACACUCAGACCCGAAAGCGUGGGGAUCAAACAGGAUUAGAAACCCGGGUAGUCC
rnacentral:rRNA from 1 species